GCCUGCGUGGCUCAGUUGGUUGAGCGUCUGACUUCGGCUCAGGUCAUGAUCUCGCGGUUUGUGGGUUUGAGCCCCGCAUCGGGCU
rnacentral:tRNA from 1 species